rnacentral:lncRNA from 1 species
GAGCAGAGAGUUUAACAGGCAAGAAGGAAGGAAGAAGGCAGAAGGAAGAAGCUCCCUUGUACAGAGACAGAGGGAGGGGGUUCCAAAGCCGAAAGAGGAAACCCCACCUGCCACAGAUACCAGCAGGGUACAUGAAGAGGCUGGAGGAGGCUGUGUUUGAUUUGCAUAGCGCUCAGGGGAUUAGUUUGACCAGCAAAUUGGGUGAAAAAAAUUUUAGGCCAUGAGCUGUUUGUUUGUAGUCUCUGAGCUAGAGAAUAGAGAUUGUGGACUUGCCCUUAGUGACUCUUAUUUUGGAAUUUGUCCACCACCCUGGGGUCUUUAGUUGUAAAGACAUUUCUGAAUUUGUGUUAAAUGAAGAAAACCUAGACACUAGAAUCAUGAAAUGCAGAAACGCUUAAAACCAGAAGACUGCAAAAUUUAACAAAUGACCUUUUUUUUGAGACUGAAUCUUGCUCUGUCGCCCAAGCUGUGGGGCAAUCUCCGCUCACUGCAAACUCCGCCUCCAGGUUCAAGCGAUUCUCUUGCCUCAGCCUCCUGAGUAGCUGGGAUUACAAUUGCGUGCCAUUGCGUCUGACUAAUUUUUGUAUUUUUAGUAGAGACGGGAUUUUGUCGUGUUGCCCAGGCUGGUCUUGAACUCCCAGGCUCAAGCUAUCCAAAUGCCUUGACCUCCAAAAGUUCUGGGGAUUACAGGUGUGAGCCACAGUGCCCAGCCAUCAAAUGGCCAUUUUUGAAAGUGGAAAAUCUUCUCUGAAACUUAUGUUCAUAUUAGCAUUGUUUAUGGGAUCAUUCACUAAGAAUCUUGUAUUGAGGUGCAAGCCACUCUGACAGGAGCCUUGUGUUGGAAAUCAUGCAGUGAUGACUUUUCAUCAUCUGCAAAUCAUACAAAGAUUAGCUUCUUCAGAUUAUACAUAUUAACUUUAAAAUGGGAACCUCUAUACAUACUGUAUGAAUGCUGAUGACCAGAAGAAAUGGCCUGAAUUUUAUGAAACAUAAAUAUGGUAAAAUUAUAGAAUUAUAGAAGGAUUAUUAUUAGAGCAAAGAGCAGCAAAUAUGUAUCAAGGAAAACAAAUUAUAAGACUUUAUUGUAACUUACCAUUUUUUUUAAUGCAUGUUUCUGAGGUGCUAGAUCUCUUAUAAGGAAGCCAGGGUCUUCGUGCUUUUGCGAGCAUUUAUGUGUGUAUGUGAUUAAGUGAGUGCAUGUUUCUGUCUUCUUUAGUUUAUAAUACACCAAUUCUUAGUUAUUUAUAUUGUACCAAAUUCUUAUAUCUUCUUAGUAUCGCUAAACUAAGAUUGAGAACAUUUAGAGUAUUCAUGUUUGGCCAGUGGCAAUUAAGAAACUAACUCUGUCACCAUAUUUUCAGUAAAAUAUAAGCAUAAAAUAUCCAAGGUAUUUAAGAAAUUUUUUUAUUACAAAGAAAAUGUUGCAUUAAAAAGUUACUGCAUUUGAAUAGUUUUCAGCAACUAUUUUAACAUUGAUAAUGAAGUCCUAGCCUUUAUUAACACAUGUUGGUCUGA